GCGUAGUCGAUGGGAAACAGGUUAAUAUUCCUGUACUUGGUGUUACUGCGAAGGGGGGACGGAGAAGGCUAUGUUGGCCGGGCGACGGUUGUCCCGGUUUAAGCGUGUAGGCUGGUUUUCCAGGCAAAUCCGGAAAAUCAAGGCUGAGGCGUGAUGACGAGGCACUACGGUGCUGAAGCAACAAAUGCCCUGCUUCCAGGAAAAGCCUCUAAGCAUCAGGUAACAUCAAAUCGUACCCCAAACCGACACAGGUGGUCAGGUAGAGAAUACCAAGGCGCUUGAGAGAACUCGGGUGAAGGAACUAGGCAAAAUGGUGCCGUAACUUCGGGAGAA
rnacentral:rRNA from 1 species